rnacentral:misc_RNA from 1 species
GGAAGGAUCAUUAACAAAUCCGUGUGGGUGAGGGUGUGGGGGGAGUGGUGGGGCGUGGUGUGUGGGGAGUGUGAUGCUUCCGCCGCUGCGAACCGCUGCCCUCCUCCGUCCCGCCAAACGUAAGAGCGCGGCCUGUGGGCUGGCUUGCUGUGGGACAGUGGUGUGGGUUAGGGGGUUAGGGAGGGUCGAUUGUGGAUGUCAAGAGGCGCUAGCGCUUUCUCGGCGCCACACCGACAUAUCCGAUCUAUCCCCUCAAUCGCACCGUCUGCCACACACAUAGACGCUUGUUUACCCGUUUGACUGUUCACUGUCGCAAUAAUAAAUACAACUUUUAACAAUGGAUCUCUUGGCUCUUGCAACGAUGAAGAACGCAGUGAAAUGCCGAAACGUAAUGCGAUCUGCAUAACUCUGUGAGUCAUCGGAAUCUUUGAACGCACAUGGCACUCUUCCUCGUGGAGAGGUAUACCUGUUUGAGCAUCCAUGAACGCCAUAUCUGUUCGGGUCGAGCAGGACGUGGGGCCUCUGCCAGCGGGGGAUAGUGCGUGCAUAGUGUAUGGUGUAUGGUGUAUGUAGUAUAUACUAUGUACAGUAUGCAUAGUGCACGCAGCAUGUACACUCCCGCCGGCAGUGCCCUUAAACGGAGAGAGCUUGUGCCUUGGCGCAAAUGUGUGUUAGGGACGGUUGUCUUUUAUCACAUGCGAGCCACGGCGCGUGCUCAAACACUACAAGUGUGCAGAUUGCUUGGACCUCACAGCCCAAACAUCCCUCCACUCUUACACCAACAUUGAUCUCAAAUCAGGCAAGACUACCCGCUGAACUUAAGCAUAUCAGUAAGCGGAGGAAAAGAAACUAACAAGGAUUCCCCCAGUAGCGGCGAGUGAAGCGGGAAGAGCUCAAAUUUGAAAUCUGGGCACGGCGUGCUCCGAAUUGUAGUUUAAAGAGGCGUCAUCGGGAGGGGCCGGGUGCACAAGUUCCUUGGAAUAGGACAUCACAGAGGGUGAGAAUCCCGUGUGGGUGCUCGUGCCGCGACCAUGUGAGGCGCUCUCGACGAGUCGAGUUGUUUGGGAAUGCAGCUCAAAAUGGGUGGUAAAUUUCAUCUAAGGCUAAAUACAGGCAAGAGACCGAUAGCGAACAAGUACCGUGAGGGAAAGAUGAAAAGCACCUUGAAAAGGGAGUUAAAUAGUGCGUGAAAUUGUUAAAAGGGAAACGAUUGGAGCCAGUAUUGCGUGCCGCGGCUCAGCGGCUGGCAGUUGGGAAGGCGGAGGAGGGUGGAGUCGGGAAUACCGAUCCGCGCCCUCCGUCUGAACCUGCAAGCCGUGCAUUCUGCGGCGCGCGAGUCAGCAUCGGUUUGGGCUGUCGAAUGUGCGUUCGGGGAAGGUGGCGGCCGGCCCUCGGGUCGGUUGCUUUAUAGACCCGGACAGACGCGGCAGCCUGGACCGAGGACGACUUGUUUCUUGCUGGUGUCCGGAUCAGCGGCCAAGCCUGGCGCCUGACCUGUCGAGACAGCAUGCUGACUCGGCGGCGAUGGCCCAGAGGAGGUCGCCGUGGGCACUCACAGGAUGCUGACGAAAUGGCUCUAAACGACCCGUCUUGAAACACGGACCAAGGAGUCCAACAUGUAUGCGAGUAUUUGGGUGGCAAACCCGGAUGCGCAAUGAAAGUGACCUGGUGUGGAAGCGUGGCCUGAUCGCCGCGCCGCACCAUCGGCCGAUCUUGAUAUCUUUUGAUAGAUUUGAGUCUGAGCAUACCUGUUGGGACCCGAAAGAUGGUGAACUAUGCCUGAAUAGGGCGAAGCCAGAGGAAACUCUGGUGGAGGCUCGUAGCCGUUCUGACGUGCAAAUCGAUGGUAAAAUUUGGGUAUAGGGGCGAAAGACUAAUCGAACCAUCUAGUAGCUGGGUUCCCUC